rnacentral:misc_RNA from 1 species
CGGCGGCCUUUUAGCCAUUCGUGUCUUCGAUUUGACUUCAAGUUGCCUAGAUCUCAAGUUGCCUCGUGUGUUUAAAAAUGGUCAAAUCGAUGGCACUCUGGCUAGAUCGACGCGUUGGCGUGUGAGUGGACGAUCGAAUGUAUGUGUCGGCUGGCUCCCUGCUUGCGCAGCGAACGGCCUUCGCAUACAUAUUUCAGUCGGGACGGAGAUGUGCGCGUCGGAUUUUUGUGUUGCCAACCCAAGUGAUGGAAUUCAUGUUGCCCCCGAUGCGUCACUUCGCCGACCACCCCUCGAGGUGCUAGGCGGACGAUGAAGCUGCCCCUUUUUUAGCCAUGCCCUCCCUUUUCGGGAACCACGGAAAACUGGUGGUGUCGCUUGUUGCCUCGGAUGCAGAGCGCGAAGCGGGCAUGACGCAAGUCGUCAUCGCUCAUUCAGAGCUCUCGGUUGCUCGGAAAGAGAGACCGUCGCGCUUGGUUCUGGCUCAGCCAGAGUCCUUGCCGACGUCUUCAAUGAAUGCUACCUGGUUGAUCCUGCCAGUAGUCAUAUGCUUGUCUCAAAGAUUAAGCCAUGAG